ACUGGGCAUGGUGGUGCAUGCCUGUAAUCCCAGCCACUUGGGAAGCUGAAGCAGGAGGAUCAUGAGUUCAAAGCCAGCCUCAACAAAUUAGUGAGGCCCUAAGCAACUUAGUGAAAUCUUGUCUCUA
rnacentral:sRNA from 1 species